rnacentral:rRNA from 1 species
CCAGCGAACUUGGCAGAGAUGCCUUGGUGCCUUCGGGAACGCUGAGACAGGUGCUGCAUGGCUGUCGUCAGCUCGUGUUGUGAAAUGUUGGGUUAAGUCCCGCAACGAGCGCAACCCUUAUCCUUUGUUGCCAGCGAUUCGGUCGGGAACUCAAAGGAGACUGCCGGUGAUAAACCGGAGGAAGGUGGGGAUGACGUCAAGUCAUCAUGGCCCUUACGAGUAGGGCUACACACGUGCUACAAUGGCGCAUACAAAGAGAAGCGACCUCGCGAGAGCAAGCGGACCUCAUAAAGUGCGUCGUAGUCCGGAUCGGAGUCUGCAACUCGACUCCGUGAAGUCGGAAUCGCUAGUAAUCGUGGAUCAGAAUGCCACGGUGAAUACGUUCCCGGGCCUUGUACACACCGCCCGUCACACCAUGGGAGUGGGUUGCAGAAGAAGUAGGUAGCUUAACCUUCGGGAGGGCGCUUACCACUUUGUGAUUCAUGACUGGGGUGAAGUCGUAACAAGGUAAGCGUAGCGAG